UGGGUUCUUCUACAUGGUGGUAUAAGAGUAGAAAUGACAGUAUAGACAUUGAUGACAAUUGCCAUGAUACACCUCACAACUGGGUUAUCAUUUUUCAUCAUAUCUCGUACACUACAUACAAGGACGAAAUGCUUCCAUAAUAGCAUCUCUGCAGACUCGCUCCAUUUAAAUAUCAAGCAUUCAUCUAUGACCUUUUUAAAUCGCUUUCUAAAACAGCUGGCGUUUCUGAGCCUACAGCGCACACCCCGCAGUUUGAGUGUCAUGAGCGAGAUAGAGGAAGCCUGGCAGGUGCCCAGGGCACGGCAGGAGAUGCCACUGCAUGACCGGGGCCUACAGACACACCAGCUGACUGCUCCAAUUUGAGGGAUUGGCAGUUGGUGCGACAUCGGCAAAAAGUGCCUUAUUAGCAUGGACAGUUCAAUUCGAAGACGUAGAGCUGCAAAUCACAGCAAUUAAUUUCUAUCUGAUUCUUGGGAGAAGUGACCAUGAAUAUAUUAAGGUCUCCCAGCCCCUCUCACCUGAGUCAGGUCCACUCCUGUGAGGGCAUUGACGGACACGGGGAGCUCGGCUAGCAGGCGGUUCACUUCCCCAGUCACCCGGCUGUUCUCCCCACUCAGAAUGAUGAUCUCAUUGGUCCUGGCCAGAGGAGCGGCCACUUUGGCAGCGAUCUGUUGAGACGGGAAAAGUAAGUAUAAGCAAGGCAUGAAAAUAACCCCAAUGCUCUUGAGAGACGAGGAACCUGACAUGGCUUUGUUCUUGCGCGAAGCCCACAUCUUGGUUCCCGGCGUGCCUGUGUGGAGCCUCUGCCUGCACACACAUACCGACAGAUGUCAGAGAAAUCUUGAGGAUAAAGAUUUACCAUAAUUACUCUCUUACCAGUCCCCCCCCCCCCCCCCACACACACACACACGCCAACUGUACAGACCCUGCUCCACCACAGCAGAACAUUAACAACCAUUUUGGGUGAUGGCAGCAAUUAUCAAGUGCAACUCCACAAUUACCAUCUUGUCCACCGCCGUCAGGAUCUCAGGGCAAGGGGUUCUCAUGACAGUCACUGGAGGUGUCAUUUAUUUUUUGUCUUGUUUAACAACAUGCUGAUGUUCUCACUGAUACUGUUACUUCUGUAUCAGAGAUUUGCUGCUGCAUGUCUUCACUGUGCUUUUUUUAAAGUGUGCAUGUCAGUUAUCUAGGGCACACCGAUAUAACAGAUGCGUUAACUGAGCCUGAAGGUCUUUUUGCUGUUUUUUCUUUCAGGUGUAGCCCUCAUGGGAAAGCUAUGCGUGCACAGGUUUUAUAUAGGACAAAGGGGAAUUGUAACACUGUGAUUAUAUCUUAACAGUAAACCAAACAUCAAAUAAA